ACGGACCGACGCUCGCAACAUGAUGAUGGAUCUCUGACUGUCAACAGAGGACCUUCUCCUCAAGUUAAAGGAACCUGGAAGUCACUGAAGAAUCACAUAAAUUCAGAGCAUACUUGGCACCAAUCUCUUGGAGUGUGUACCUCUGAUUCUCGAGGAGGAGAGGAGUAAGGAGAAAUCUGGGCACAGUCAUACAGUCUGAAGAAACUGCAAAGAGCCUGUCACAGGUCUGAGUCAGGGGAGUUUGCUGUCAUUGAUGAGGAUGCACCUUUGAAGGACAUGUAAAUAUUUUCCAUGUACUGUAUGGCAAAAUGCAACCAGAUACCUUGGUUGUUAAAGACCGGAUGCAGCAAAGUUUAUCAUGGCGG